rnacentral:piRNA from 1 species
UGGUGCACAUGUUCUGAAUGAGGCGC